UGGAAAAGUAAGUAGCUCCUCCCUCGACACAGCUACUGUGUAGUGUUGGCAAGUGGACUAUUUCCUCAAACACGUCAUUGAAUAUUUUAGUGUUUUGUCUUCCCUUAUUUCCGCGGGAAGCGUCUGGAGUCAAGAGUACCUUUAUCGUGUGAAUAUCCGAAAGAAUAUUUACAAAACAGCAAAGAGAAAUAAGAAUUGUUUGAUUGGAGAAUGAGAACAGUCUUUUAGGGUAAAGCACGUUCAACUUUCCCUUCGAAACCUGUUUGUCGUGGCGUGCAGUCACGAUAAAUGAUGCGUAGGCUUAGUAGUAUGGAUGGUAUAACAUUCGCGAGCUUACUGUGUUUCGUUAGCUUGAGUUUAUACACAGGAGAAACGCAUGGAUAUGGAAUUAAAGAAUCAGACUUGAAAUGUUACAACUGCUCGUGGACUCGAGCACUGCACGAGCAUCUCCAUACCGCCAAAACCGAGCCUCCUGUAGAGCUUAUGUGUGAUCGUAAAGUAUGUAAUAUCACCGAUG